AAAUUAAGAAUCUUGUCUGUGGUUCCAUAACACAGAAAGGGGUGAUUUUCUCUUGUAAAGUGGUUUGAACCCCACAGCCAUGGCACUAGCGAGCAGGGUCAUCAGAGCUGCUCCAUUCUUCUGGAAGCUGCAGAGAAAGGGAGCCCGGAAACCUGGUAUGCCGGCAAAAAGGGCUGGAGUGCAAUGACACGAUCUUGGCUGACUGCAACCUCUGCCUCCCGGGUUCAAGCAAUUCUCCUGCCUCAGCCUCCUGAGCAGAUGGGAUUACAGUUUAUAAUCAGGUAUAAGUCUCUUGGGGAAUCUGACCUCAUACCUCAUCUAUGCAGUUCCUGUACAAGGUUCCUGACCUGUGGUCUUUAGAUAAACUCUUUCAACCAACUGCCAAUCAGAAAAUCUGUGAAUCUGCCUGUGAUCUGGAAGCCUCUGCUUCCUGGUGUGCCACCUUUCCCGUCUGAACUGAUGUACAGCUUAAAUGUAUUGAUUGAUGCCUUAUGCCCUAUAGCAUGUAUAAAACCUAGCUGUGCCCUGAUCACCUGGGUCACACGUUCUCCGGGUCUCCUGAGGACUGUGUCACGGGCUGUGGUCACUCACGUUUGGCUCGAAAUAAAUCUCUCCAAUAUUUUACAGAG
rnacentral:lncRNA from 1 species